rnacentral:tRNA from 1 species
ACUUUAUAGCUCUGCGGUUUUGAACACCACAAUAAAACAUUCAAUUGUUUAUAAAGUA